UGGCCCAUGAGGAUACCAAUCACAAAUUACACCAUCUUUCGGGACUGAAUGGCUUCUCAAGCCUUGCUGUCAUUCUGCAAUUCUGAGGCCC
rnacentral:snoRNA from 1 species